AUGAGCGGCGGCGGUUCGGGGGCGGCGCCGGCUGCGGAGAGCGGGGGCGCCGGAGAUUCCAUCAGGCGUCUCCAUGACCGGCUCGAGUCGAUGCUGCCGCGGGUGGAGGCGCUCGCCGCCGACCGCGCGCGCGUGGAGGAAACCAACAGGGCCCAGCACGAGCUGCUGGGAGCCCUUUAUGCCCACCUCCUCCAGGCGGAGGCGAGCAGGGAUAGGUGGAAGGCGGCCUACACUGAGCUUCAUCCCGAACUUCAAGAGAGAGACGUGGUGGAUUCCCAAGCCUGUGAAACUCUUCCUGAUUCCAAUAACUCUCAGCUGCAGGAGACUAGUGAGGAUACCAGUGAAAUGGAGCUUGAACAGAACACGAUGCAGAUCUUUGUCAAGAUCAACUUUUCAUAUUUUCGCAAAAAAAGAAAGAUCCACUGUUUAAAGACUGUCAGUCUUGAGCUCACGGGAUCACAUACGAUCUUCGAUGUCAAGGAUAAGAUUCAAGACAAGGAGGGCAUCCCUGCACGCAAGCAGAGACUCAUAUUUGGCAGUAAGCUGCUGGUGGGCAGCUGUACGCUGAAGGACUACAACAUCGUGGAGGAGUCUACCCUCAUCCUUGAGUUUCCCCCCGAGGGAUGCAUGUCUUUGUCAGGACACUGA
rnacentral:rRNA from 1 species